GUAGUCUUCACCGGAGACUCGUUGUGCGCUCACUAAAAAUUUUAAUAAAAAAAUUAAAAAUAAAAUAUUCAUACGUGUUUUAUCAGUGACUUGGCACGAGAAGCUUCUUAAUUUGCAAUUUUUUUAUUUGGGAUCAAAAUACUGAUUUUCAACGGCUUUUUUCAGACUUAUGUGUCCAUGAGGAGCAAGAUUUUAGACUGUCAAGGCAACUCCCCGACGUUUUUACCCAGUGUCAGGCUAACCAAGAAUCUUCAGACUCGCAAAGGGAGUCGACGUGCUAAUUCUGGGAAUCGUUUGGAGUUGUUGGUUCUAGUCCAUUUACAUCACGUGCCUUAGGCAUCUACAAAAACAGUCGGAAACCUGCGGCAGCAGCGGUCGCAAAAUCGAGUUAAGUUAAAUAGAUUCAUAAGCUGCUUCCGAACCAUUGGCACUGCUCUAAACUACAUAUAUCAGCUCAAAAAACAUCAGGGGAUCCAAGGCUAAAUUUCUAAUCAGUAAUCGAAAGAAGAAAUAUCAAAAUGGUCCAUGGAAAAUGUAGUGGUGCUCUCAAGGGACCUUACCAAGAAUGCAAAAAAGAAAAAGACGUUAAUGUUUCUAGCAGUCAUCAACAGCGAUCACAAUCUCAACAACAACAACAGAAAGAUAAAGAUAAUAAAUAUGGAGCCUGGGGUCCAGUAUAUAAAGACAGACAAAAUUUCAUCAAUAUGCAUCUUUGUUGAGUUUUUAAUUCUCUAAUUAAUUAACGAGACGUGCACCUGAGUCAUCACUUAAGAAUGUUGGACAUAUGUUUUUUUAAAUCUGAAGUCUUAUAAUUUACAAUCUUUAAACUACACAUCUGCACUUUUGUUUCCAAAGAUUUGUUUUAUUUUUUUUUUAAAUUAUUUUUUUAGAAAAGAAAUAUUUUAUAUUCUACUCCAGGAUUUUAAAUUUUUUUAUCAAAGGCAAGACGAGGAAUAUAAUUUUUUAACCGAAUUAUUGGAAACUGGUAUUUAGUUCAAGAGAAAUCAAAUAACAAAUAGAAAUCUAAUGGUUUUGAUUUAUUUUUCAAUUUUUUUUUUAUUUUUUCAAAGAAUCAUGAUCGUUUUUUAAACUGUUUUCUACCAUAUAAUCGAAAAUAAUCAAAUUGUAGAGCAUCAUAAAAAGUGUCGAAAACUGAGCAAUCGAGUGCAUGUCUUGUGUUAAUAAUUUUUUUUAAAGAUCAAUAUAAAUUCCAGAUGUUUUUCAUGCUGAAAAUACUACCGUCAAAUUUAAGAAAAGAGUUAGCUACUGUCGUUUCUCAUAAUGAUGAUUCUUAGGAAUCGGAAAAUUCGCGAGAAUCGAAAUUAUGGAUGUUGAUGAAAGCGUCAAUUUUCUUCAGCUUAGAAAAGAUUUUUCACUCUUUAUAUAUCAAUCUUCAAUAUUAGGUAUUAUUUUGAGAGAAGUAUUAUAUGAUUUUAUUUUUUGAGAAAAAGUUUCAAAAAUAAUCUUUAACAUUUUUAAUCAAAUUUCUGACUGAAGAAAAUUCGACUGAGAAGUGACAAUGGUUCGGUAAUAAUAUUUGACAUGAUGGUAUAUAUUUUUUAUUAUUAAAGAUUAAUCUUAUUAUUGGCGGAUAAAAGAAAGCAUAGGUGGAAUGCUUGUUUGACAUGAUAGAAUAUUAUAUUAUACAUGGUGUUUUAUUAUCGUUAAAAUACAUAUUUUGCUUUCAACUAUUAUAAUCUUGAGCUGAGGUAUAUUAUAUUAUAUUCUCCUAGCGAGGUAGGUUUGUUUAUUAUUUGGAUAAAAAAUAUACUAGGGGUCAAUUUAUCCUCGAAUUUAUCUAUACGUUCAGACAUUACAUUUUUUAUUCAAUUUCACAACAAAAAAUAAAAAAAAAACUUAAAUUUUACAUUAGAUUUUGAAAAUUAUGACAGAUUGAGGUAUGUAAGCUGUUCGAUAAAUGGCCCUAAGCAAUAUAAAACUUGAGAAUAAUAAAAACGCUCUCAAUAAUAAAA